UCAAGCUACAAAGAGCGUAAGGGGAAUGCCUUGGCACCAGGAGCCGACGAAGGACGCAGCGAUCUGCGAAAAGCCACGGGGAGCCGAAAGCAGGCUUUGAUCCGUGGAUAUCCGAAUGGGGAAACCCGCAUGGUUAAUAGCCAUGCGACGUAUACUGAAUAAAUAGGUAUGCGUCGGGAACCGUCUGAACUGAAACAUCUAAGUAGGACGAGGAAAAGAAAUCAACCGAGAUUCCGUAAGUAGUGGCGAGCGAACACGGAAGAGGCCAAACCGAAGGUAGCAAUAUCUUCGGGGUACGGACAGUAAACGGCAUUGCGGUAUCUUAGCAGAAGUGCAUGGGACGGCACACCAUAGAGAGUGAUAGUCUCGUAAGCGAAAAGAGAAGGCAGCCAACUGUAUCCAGAGUACCGCCGGACACGUGAAACCCGGUGGGAACAUGGGGGGACCAUCCUCCAAGCCUAAAUACUCCCUGGUGACCGAUAGAGAACAGUACUGUGAAGGAAAGGUGAAAAGAACCCCGGGAGGGGAGUGAAAAGAACCUGAAACCUUAUGCUUACAAGCACCGAGAGCCCAUCAAAGGGUGAUCGGGUACCUUUUGUAGAAUGGUCCGGCGAGUGAAUGUAACUGGCAAGGUUAAGCACUUAAGGUGUGGAGCCGAAGCGAAAGCAAGUCUUAAUAGGGCGUCAAGUCAGUUGUAUUCGACCCGAAACCGUGUGACCUAGCCAUGAGCAGGCUGAAGUGGAGGUAAAACUCCAUGGAGGGCCGAACCCACUCCCGUUGAAAUGGUAGGGGAUGACUUGUGGCUAGCGGAGAAAUUCCAAUCGAACUCGGAGAUAGCUGGUUCUCUCCGAAAUAGCUUUAGGGCUAGCCUCGAUUUGACAUUACCGGAGGUAAAGCACUGAAUGGGCUAGGGGCCGAGAGGUUACUGAACCCUAUCAAACUAAGAAUGCCGGAUAAUGAUAAUCGGGAGUCAGACAGUGUGAGAUAAGUUUCAUUGUCAAAAGGGAAACAGCCCAGACCCACAGCUAAGGUCCCAAAGUACAGUUAAGUGGUGAAGGAUGUGGAAUUGCAUAGACAACCAGGAUGUUGGCUUAGAAGCAGCCACUCAUUAAAAGAGUGCGUAAUAGCUCACUGGUCGAGUGACCCUGCGCCGAAAAUUCAACGGGGCUAAACAAUGUACCGAAGCUUGGGAUUCUAAAGUAAUUUAGAGUGGUAGGAGAGCGUCGAAUAAGGGGUGAAGUCAGAGCGGAAGCGCUGGUGGACUUUAUUCGAGUGAGAAUGCCGGAAUGAGUAGCGAGAAUUAUGUGAGAAUCAUAAUGGCCGAAAGACUAAGGUUUUAGAAGGAAGGUUCGUCCGCUUCUAGUCAGCCGGGAGCUAAGGCGAGGCCGAAAGGCGUAGUCGAUGCACAUACGGUGGAGAUUCCGUAGCCGCCAUUAAUUUAAACAGAGGGACACUUUCAAGGGGCAUGACCCGGGCGUUGGUAGACCCGGGCGUAAGGGACCGAAAAUUAGUAGGGAAGCAUGCUUUAAGGAAGGCGAGAAAAGCUCUGUGUAUAGAAGAUGGCGCCCGUACCGCAAACCGACACAGGUAGUCAGGAAGAGAAUUCUAAGGCCAACGGGAGAAGGGUAGUUAAGGAACUCGGCAAAUUGACCCCGUAACUUCGGAAUAAGGGGUGCUCACGAGAGUGAGCCGCAGUGAAUAGGUCCAGGCGACUGUUUAUCAAAAACACAGCUCUCUGCUAAAUCGAAAGAUGACGUAUAGGGGGUGACACCUGCCCGGUGCUGGAAGGUUAAGAGGAAGGGUGCAAGCUCUGAAUUGAAGCCCCAGUAAACGGCGGCCGUAACUAUAACGGUCCUAAGGUAGCGAAAUUCCUUGUCGGGUAAGUUCCGACCCGCACGAAUGGUGUAACGAUCUGGACACUGUCUCAACUACCCACCCGGCGAAAUUGUAGUACCGGUGAAGAUGCCGGUUACCCGCGGCAAGACGGAAAGACCCCAUGGAGCUUUACUGUAACCUGAUAUUGGGUUUCGGUAUUUUAUGUACAGGAUAGGUGGGAGACUAUGAAACUAAGGCGCCAGCCUUAGCGGAGUCGCCCUUGGGAUACCACUCUUAAAGUACUGAAAUUCUAACCUGCGGCCGUGAAUCCGGUCGGGGGACAUUGUCAGGCGGGCAGUUUGACUGGGGCGGUCGCCUCCAAAAGAGUAACGGAGGCGCUCAAAGGUUCGCUCAGCAUGGUCGGAAACCAUGCCUUAGAGUGUAAACGCAAAAGCGAGCCUAACUGCGAGGCUGACGGGCCGAGCAGUAACGAAAGUUGGAGUUAGUGAUCCGGCGGUAUGUGAAUGGAAAUGCCGUCGCUCAACGGAUAAAAGCUACCCUGGGGAUAACAGGCUGAUCUCCCCCAAGAGUCCACAUCGACGGGGAGGUUUGGCACCUCGAUGUCGGCUCAUCACAUCCUGGGGCUGAAUUCGGUCCCAAGGGUUCGGCUGUUCGCCGAUUAAAGUGGUACGCGAGCUGGGUUCAGAACGUCGUGAGACAGUUCGGUCCCUAUCUGUCGUGGGCGUAGGAUAUUUGAAGAGCGCUGUCCCUAGUACGAGAGGACCGGGAUGGACGCACCGCUGGCGCAUCGGUUGUCAUGCCAAUGGCACGGCCGAGCAACUAUGUGCGGUUUGGAUAAACGCUGAAAGCAUCUAAGCGUGAAGCCAUCUCUAAGAUAAGAUAUCCCAUAGCAUAAGCUAGUAAGACCCCUCAAAGACUAUGAGGUUGAUAGGCUGCGUGUGUAAGUACGGCGACGUAUUUAGCUUGGCAGUACUAAUAGGUCGAGGGCUUGACCUU
rnacentral:rRNA from 1 species